UUCCGUCUAGCGGUUAGGAUUCCUGGCUUUCACCCAGGCGGCCCGGGUUCGACUCCCGGCGCGGGAG
rnacentral:tRNA from 1 species